UCGCACAAGCGGUGGAGCAUGUGGUUAAUUCGAAGCAACGCGAAGAACCUUACCAGGUCUUGACAUCCCUGACAACCCGAGAGAUCGGCGUUCCCCUUCGGGGGACAGGGUGACAGGUGGUGCAUGGUUGUCGUCAGCUCGUGUCGUGAGAUGUUGGGUUAAGUCCCGCAACGAGCGCAACCCUUAUCUUUAAUUGCCAGCAUUCAGUUGGGCACUUUAAGAGACUGCCGGUGUUAAACCGGAGGAAGGUGGGAUGACGUCAAGUCCUCAUGGCCUUUAUGCUUAGGGCUACACACGUGCUACAAUGGGUGGUACAAAGAGAAGCCAACUCGCGAGAGCGCGCCAAUCUCAAAAAGCCAUCCUCAGUUCGGAUUGGAGUCUGCAACUCGACUCCAUGAAGUUGGAAUCGCUAGUAAUCGCGGAUCAGCAUGCCGCGGUGAAUACGUUCCCGGGCCUU
rnacentral:rRNA from 1 species